GAUUAUUCGCCACAACUUGUGUAGCUGAGACACGGACUGAGCUCUACGAGCAGCAGUGGGAAAUAUGCACAAUGAACGAAAGUCUGAUGCAGGCACGCCGCGUGAGAUGACACAUUUCGUUGCGUAAACUCUUUUAUAUUAAGAAGAUAAUGACGGUAUUAUUAUGAUAGCACCGGCUACUCGUGCCAGCAGCCGCGGUAAUACGGAGGGUGCAAGCGUUAUUCGGAAUCACUGGGCGUAAAGGGUGCGUAGGCGGUUUGGAAAGUCAGAUGUGAAAGCCUACAGCUUAACUGUAGAACUGCAUUUGAAACUUCCAGACUAGAAUACUGAAGGGGCAGAUGGAAUUAGUGGUGUAGGGGUAAAAUCCGUAGAUAUCACUAGGAAUACCGAAAGCGAAAGCGAUCUGCUGGGAAGUUAUUGACGCUGAGGCACGAAAGCGUGGGGAGCAAACGGGAUUAGAUACCCCGGUAGUCCACGCCCUAAACGAUGAAUGCUAGUCGUCGGAAAGCUCGUCUUUUCGGUGAUGCAGUUAACACAUUAAGCAUUCCGCCUGGGGAGUACGGUCGCAAGAUUAAAACUCAAAGGAAUAGACGGGGACCCGCACAAGUGGUGGAGCAUGUGGUUUAAUUCGAAGAUACGCGAAGAACCUUACCUAGCCUUGACAUUGAUAGAAUCUGGUAGAGAUACCGGAGUGCCUGCUUGCAGGAACUUGAAAACAGGUGCUGCACGGCUGUCGUCAGCUCGUGUCGUGAGAUGUUGGGUUAAGUCCCGCAACGAGCGCAACCCUCGUCGUUAGUUGCUAACAGUUCGGCUGAGCACUCUAGCGAGACUGCCUUCGCAAGGAGGAGGAAGGUGAGGACGACGUCAAGUCAUCAUGGCCCUUAUGGCUAGGGCUACACACGUGCUACAAUGGGGCGUACAGAGAGUUGCGAUACCGCGAGGUGGAGCUAAUCUCAUAAAGCGUCUCUCAGUUCGGAUUGAUCUCUGCAACUCGAGAUCAUGAAGCUGGAAUCACUAGUAAUCGUAGAUCAGCAAUGCUACGGUGAAUACGUUCCCGGGUCUUGUACUCACCGCCCGUCACACCAUGGGAGUUGAUUUCACCCGAAAUCGGGAAGCAAACCUUCGGGAUGCUACCGCUUACGGUGGAAUUAGCGACUGGGGUGAAGUCGUAACAAGG
rnacentral:rRNA from 1 species